AGAGUUUGAUCCUGGCUCAGGAUGAACGCUAGCUACAGGCUUAACACAUGCAAGUCGAGGGGAAACGACAUCGAAAGCUUGCUUUUGAUGGGCGUCGACCGGCGCACGGGUGAGUAACGCGUAUCCAACCUGCCCACCACUUGGGGAUAACCUUGCGAAAGUAAGACUAAUACCCAAUGACGUCUCUAGAAGACAUCUGAAAGAGAUUAAAGAUUUAUCGGUGAUGGAUGGGGAUGCGUCUGGUUAGCUUGUUGGCGGGGUAACGGCCGACCAAGGGCUACGAUCAGUAGGGGUUCUGAGAGGAAGGUCCCCACAUUGGAACUGAGACACGGUCCAAACUCCUACGGCAGGCA
rnacentral:rRNA from 1 species